AUAAAAUCUCAGACAGGUAAACAGUUGUUGAGUUUACGGAGCUUUUCCAUCGUCCUUUACAAUUCCCAUACAGUAUACCCAUUCAACGUAUACAACUUCAUUCAAGGAAAAGAGCAAAGUGUACAAGUCAAAGGUUUUUCAUAUAGCCAGAGUUGUAUAGCCCACUCCUCAGUCCACUUUAGAGUCCUGGCAUUGGCCCCAGAAGAAACUCCACACCUAUUAGCAGCACUUCCCACUUACCCCCAGAUGCCUCUAUUGGAAUCUCUGUAAAUGUG
rnacentral:lncRNA from 1 species